UACGAAGGGGGCUAGCGUUGCUCGGAAUUACUGGGCGUAAAGCGCACGUAGGCGGAUUGUUAAGUCGGGGGUGAAAUCCUGGAGCUCAACUCCAGAACUGCCUUCGAUACUGGCGAUCUCGAGUUCGGGAGAGGUGAGUGGAACUGCGAGUGUAGAGGUGAAAUUCGUAGAUAUUCGCAAGAACCCCAGUGGCGAAGGCGGCUCACUGGCCCGAUACUGACGCUGAGGUGCGAAAGCGUGGGGAGCAAACAGG
rnacentral:rRNA from 1 species